rnacentral:tRNA from 1 species
GCGGGUUUAGCUCAGUUGGGAGAGCGUCAGACUGAAGAAUUGGAUCCCCAAAAGUCCAUAAACUUCAGGACCAAGAUCCACAUUGGGGGUUAUCUGAAGGUCGUGUGUUCGAUCCACACAAACCGCA